rnacentral:rRNA from 1 species
AGAGUUUGAUCAUGGCUCAGAACGAACGCUGGCGGCAGGCCUCAAACAUGCAAGUCUAGGGGGUGUAGCAAUACAUCACCGGCGGACGGGUGCGUAACGCGUGGGAAUGUACCUAUUGGUUCGGAACAACUGCGGGAAACUGCAGCUAAUACCGAAUGUGCCCGUAAGGGGAAAGAUUUAUCGCCAAUAGAUCAGCCCGCGUAGGAUUAGCUAGUUGGUGAGGUAAUGGCUCACCAAGGCUCCGAUCCUUAGCUGUUCUGAGAGGAAGAUCAGCCACACUGGGACUGAGACACGGCCCAGACUCCUACGGGAGGCAGCAGUUGGGAAUCUUGGACAAUGGGGGAAACCCUGAUCCAGCCAUGCCGCGUGAGUGAUGAAGGCCUUCGGGUUGUAAAACUCUUUCGACGGGGACGAUAAUGACGGUACCCGUAGAAGAAGCUCCGGCUAACUUCGUGCCAGCAGCCGCGGUAAUACGAAGGGGGCUAGCGUUGUUCGGAAUUACUGGGCGUAAAGCGCGCGCAGGCGGCUAUCCAAGUCAGUGGUGAAAGCCCGGAGCUCAACUCCGGAACUGCCAUUGAAACUGUUUAGCUUGAGGACGAGAGAGGUGAGUGGAAUUCCCAGUGUAGAGGUGAAAUUCGUAGAUAUUGGGAAGAACACCGGUGGCGAAGGCGGCUCACUGGCUCGUAUCUGACGCUCAGGCGCGAUAGCGUGGGGAUCAAACAGGAUUAGAUACCCUGGUAGUCCACGCCGUAAACGAUGAAUGCUAGCCG